GGUCUCGAUAGGGGGUCCGCCUAACGGUGAGUACUCUCUAGCGAGGCCUUCCUUUCUGGAGGUCCCAUCUGCACUUUAUUGGGUGGGUGGGGGAACCAGGACUUUUACUUUGAAAAAAUUAGAGUGUUUAAAGCAGGCUAACGCUUGAAUACAUUAGCAUGGAAUAAUGAAAUAGGACGA
rnacentral:rRNA from 1 species